UUUUCACUCUACUCAAUGGAUGUGUAUGAUCUAAAAAAUCACACUCUAAAUUAGAGUAUAUUUUGAAAAGACAAAGUUGUAAAUCCAAUCAAAAGAAAAUUGAAAAGUCACGUGAAGGAAAUGUCACACACACUGGAAAAGAAAGGUCACCAUUCUCCAAGUAAACCUUCUUUUGUUACUUCGAUAUGUAUUUUAUUUGGUUUUCAUUUGUUAUUAACUAUCUUCAUUGUUAAAUGAUGACGAGCCUUUGGGCGGCGAGGUUGGACAGAAGGAAGUGGAAUUUGAUGUUGAAUCUGGGGAAAUUAAGUUGAAAGGAGAUCUUCGAUCUUCGAUCUGAUAGGUUUUGCAAGUUUGAUGUUUGAAUUUUUUGUUGUUUUAUUUCAAUUUUACAUAUGCACACCAUCUAUUUGAUAAAAUGUUUUAGAGGAUCACAUUAAAAAAAAAAAUUCAAGUUUCAACCGAAUGCUUAUUAUUUUGUCAUGUUUUCUUACGAGAAUAUAUUUGAUAUUCCACAUUUGAACAACACCUUUGGAUUAUGAAGUUGCUUCCUUCUGCUGGUGA